GCCGUCGCUUUGGGAUCUUAGCUUAGCUCCGCUCCGCCGCUGCCUCUGUUCGCUUUUCCUUUAGCGCCUCCUCCGCUUCCUUCUCCGUAGUACAAGGCCGCCCGGCACCCAAGGGAGGAGCGUGCCCCCAAGAGCGGUGCACGCUGGGGUUCCUGACGAGGACGCGCGAGAGACGUGAAGAACUCGCUAGAGCGGUAGCCAUUACCGGAAGAACCACGAAUACAAAAACGGCGCCCAGACUACCGACCACCACCACCCCCAACCACUAAGACGUAAAGUUCGUUCCGCGUCCACAACUACGUAGUCGACGACGACCGUUCGACUUGGUGUUCCAGUUCAAAUUCUUCGGCCUGUACUUCGUCUCCAAACUCUCAACCUAGUAGCUCGUGCUUUUCUGUAUGGCUCUACUCCUUCUCUUCCGAUACGCCAAGCUUAACAAGUUCCGGCGGGAGAUCUACUACCUUAGCGUCGAGGGCAGGCAGCUCCUCUCACCACACGAAGGUGUCCAUUCGACAAAGCGUCUGAAAUGUCGGCUCCUCUUUGCCUUUAACGACCGGAAAGGGUUGCCUCAAUUGUAGUGGCUCAUGUUGCUCUACCAGUUCAGACGGACCCGGUUCGUUGUCUUUCCUCUCUACAUAACUAUUCCUACGGUCCGUACUUCGUCCCGCUGUACGUCCGUUGAGUUCCGAGACGUAUCUUACGACAGACCAACCAAUUAUUAUAGACCACGUUCAGUUUCACUCACCGACCACAAGAACCUUUGACGAGAUUCAAAUCAAACGACGAUACAAUUAGACUUGGCACACACCGACAACAUCAAUUUUAAUUUUAAUUUAUCGAACCGUGAGGAAAUUUAAACGACCUCUAAAGAGAAAAUGUGCCCUUCUCUUUGGACCUUUGAUCCUAUAUUACUAUAGAACAAACAAACACGACUUCAUGGCUACUUAGUCAACUGGUAGAAGGUGGCUUGUAUAUGAGG
rnacentral:rRNA from 1 species